GAAAAGAACGUUCUCUCCUCUGUCAUGAGAAAAAGAAACAAACAAAGGGACCUAAAAGGUCAGAAGGGAAAAGGGGAAAAGGGGAAAAAGGGCUUUUGAAGGAAGGUACAUACACACCAAGUAUGUGCACGCCUGUAUGGAUGUGUGCUACCCACCCAUCCACAAAAGGAGAAAAGGAGAAAAGGAAAGCUGCAUGGGCCUCUUCCCUUCCCUUCCAACCAGGAGAAAGGAGGAAAGGA
rnacentral:ribozyme from 1 species